UGGGUUUGUUACUGCUGAGCCAUGGUGGGAACUCCAGGUGAUUUUUCUUCUAAAUUACAAUAAUGGCUAAUGUUUCUGGAGAGACUCUGUGCCAGACCUGCUGCUGGCAGGUCUGUUUAUCUGUCCUGCUUUGUACCUGAGAAAACUGAGACUCAGAGAGGUGAAGUGACUUGCCUAAGGCCAUACAGAUGUCGUGGCGGGGGAGGGCGGCUGUCAUUUGAACCUGGGUCUGACUCCAGAGCUUGAGGGCUUCACCCCCUCCCAUGCUGCCUCCCUCCUGGAACCCUGGAAAGAACCCCGAAAUUCUAGAGCGCUGGCGUCUGCUGGUUCUGUCAUCACCUUACUGCAGGGGAGUUCAGGCGUCUGAGAAGCCAAGGAGCCUGUCCCCAGGCAUGUGCAAGUUCAGAGGCAUCCUCCAGACACCGGCUGCCCCCGGCCGCCUUGAGUCUUCACCUCCUCACUAUCGCCUGUCUCUCCUCCCACACCCACCACCAAGGGAGCAGGUGCAGGGAACCUGGGACUUAUCAAGACAGAGAACAAAAGUCGUGGGGGAAAGAAGCCAAGAGCCAUCUCCACACUGGGGUAGGGCCCUUCAGUUUCGCCCCUUUGAAAUUUCAAAUUCCAGUUUGUGGACAAAGUCCUAACUUUCUCACAAUAUAGGUCCCCAACCACUGACCAAACUCCAGUCCAGGCAGCCAGCAGGCCCAGGGCUGGUGUGGCCUGGCCGCUUCCUUUGGCAGCUCUCAAAGUCUAGGGGGAGGGGUCCUGGGCCCACCGGGGUCCGUCAGGCCAUCCCUGCGGCCCCACCUGAGAGGACGGCCCUCUUCAUGGAGCUGGGAUCUGACACUGGCUGGUGCCGACAGCAGACACCAGUUCCAGGACCCAGCUGGCACUCAGUAUAUUGAGUUGGAUGAAUGAAUGAAGAAAUUUGCCCAUCCAGUCGUUCAACAUUUAUCCAGCACAUUCCAUGUGCACUGCUGUGGGUGCUGGAGAUACAGCAGUGAAUAGACUCUUAAUUGUUGACCAGAAUUUCUCGACCUCGGCACUAUUGACAUUUGAGGCUGGAUAAUUCCUUGUAAUGGAAGGGCAUGUCCUAUGUAUUAUAGGAUGCUUGGCAGCAACUCUGGAAUCCACCCACUAGCACCUGUUCCUGACCCCCAAGGUGCUUCUGAUUCAGGAAGCCCCCAGGAAAACGCCUCCAGGAAGUCUCCCUGAUAGCCUGAUAACCAAACACUGUGCACCUGGCAAGAUUACCCUUUCUUGCUGCCUUUGAAGUUAAAUGUGACCAUGUGACUGGUCUCAGCCAAUGAAAUGUGAUCAGAAACAAUCGGCAUCACACCUGGGCGGAAGCUUUAGAGUCAGUGCCGUGGCUGGUAUGGAAGCAAAGGGAAAUCUGCAGUCAUGAGGACAAGCACAGGGACAAGCCGACUCAUGUUAGUAGGAGUCAAAUGCAGAUGAAAAUGUGGAGCAACCAGAACUAGACGCUCCUGAUGAAGUGGUGGUUGGUGGGCAAGAUAGAGCCAUGUGCCAAUAACUCAUCAAAGCGAAGACGCCCGUCAUCUGAGAUCCGGAAAUUCCAGUCCUGCACAUUAUCCCAGAGACACUCUCACCCACAGCUGAUGGAGUCCGUGCAUGAACCAAGGCCUCUCCAUGCGGUAUCUCCACCUUUACAGUAACCCUACAAGACCAGAUACUCCCCAAGACCUGAAGCUGUACUUGAUUUUCCUGCAUCCCCUAGUGCCCAGGAGAAUGCCUUGCGUACCAUGAGCCCCCAGUGGUCACUUGUUGAAGAAAUGAACAGGCAAACAAUGAUUAAUGAAUGCAGAAGGCUUCAGGGUAUCCACAACCUCCCUUUAUAAAAUGGGACAAAAAUAAGGCAAUGGUUUCUGACCUCCAUCUGCCCAAAUCACUGAAGGAACUUAACCAGGUAAAGAUUCUUGGAAUCAUCCCAGAAGAUUCUGAUACACCAGGUCUGGAGUGGCGCCCCCAAAGAUGUCAGCUGAAGAAAGUUUCCCUUAGGCAGCCGGAUUUACAAACUGUUAAACCAUAGGGCCUGAAAUCAAGCUGAGGUGGGAUGAGAAGAUGACGUGGACCGUGGGAAAGGGUGAGGGAGACUAUAUUUUGGGGAAUGAAAAGUGGGAACAGCCAUGCCUGGUGUGUGACAUAGUCCCGCAGAUGACCAGCCUCUGGGGCUUUACCCAACUUUGGUCUCAUCAGCCCUUUAGGGAGACAAAGCACUUUAUAGUUUAUGAUACCUUUUCUCCUUCUUGAGCUCAUGGAAUCCUCACAACAGUUCAUUUGAUAGAUGAAGAAACUGAUCAGAGAUCUGCGCAAAGUGCCCGGCAUUGCACAGCUCUAAGUGGGAAAGCCACUUAACAAAACUGCCUCUGACAACAGCCUCCAAUCUGGCUUGAGGCUGAUGCCAUUAGUCAAAGGAACUAGGCCUAUGUCCCCAGGAAAAAUCAGGCUUAACUGACACUUAGAAGCAGUUAUAUUGCCCUGAAGGAGGAUUGUUGACCAGUGGCCAAGUCACCCCCUGUCCCUUACAGGUACUGCUGUCCCAGCCCAGCCCAUCUCCAUCCAUCCAUCCAUACAUCUGUCUUUUUAUCCAUCCACUCACACAUCACCUCUUUCAUCCGUCCAUCCAUCCAUCCGUCAAAGCAGGCAUCUUUCCAGUUACUCAUUCAUCCACUUACCAUAUCCAUUCACAUUUCUCCAUCCAUCCCAUCCAUCCAUCCAUCCAUCCAUCUUCUUAUUCAUUCAUUAAAUAAACUUCCAUCAAAUUCUACAUGGGACUAGGCCCUGUGGUAACCUAGAGUCGAACAAAAAGAACCAGACAAACAUAGACCUCACCCUCAAGGAGAUUUGAGAUGCUUAUACAAGUAACAGAUUCCCUAAGAGCCAAAAUAAAGAAUCAGUGGAAGCUUGCUAAAGGCAAAACAAGGGCAGGAAAAUAACAAAGCCAAGAAUUAUGUUAGCACAGAGAUACACACACUAUAGCAUCUUAUCCUCACAGUGGCUAAAGGCACCAUCUCAUUGCUGCUGAACCAAAUGCUAGAACCCAGAGCAAAUGCAACAACACAAGAGCCACACUAUACUCAGUGGUGGCAGAUCCUGCCCAACAGCUAUUCCUGCUUCCUUAUGACAUGGCAGGAGACCUUUUCGGUGGGCACAACUGACAGGAGGUGUGCUACUAGCAUCUAUUCAGUUGAAGCCAGGAAAGCUGCUCAACAUCCCACGUUGUGCAGGACAAUCUCCUUACUGCAAAGAAUUAUCCAAGCCAACAUAUCAAUAGUGUCAAAGUUGAGGAACCUCUCAGAAGAGAACCCGAAUUUGGUUUGCAGCAGCAUUGGGCCAGACCCUAAGAAAAGACCAUCCUUGGGAAAGUGCUGGCUUUCCCAUUUCUUUCCACUAGACACUCCCUAGCUUUUCUUGAAUUAAGGAAGCUUGCUGGGAGGUUUCUGGGAAAUUUUUGCUUUUAGAGAAUCAAGUGCUUCCAGGAAAACCCAUUCCAGCUUCAUACACUUAAGUGCAAACCUGAUGCCUGAUGCUGUGACAGCCACCUUGGGUCUGUAAUGGGACAAAUCAACAACCAAAAGCCAACACAGUGAGGAUGGCAGAGAAGGGGGAAGGGAAGAGCAUGGACCUGGCUGGCAAGGCUGACCAGUGUCAUAGGGCUCUUUCUUCCUUUUUUAUUUUGUCUUUUUAGGGCCUCACCCCAGCAUGUGGAGGCUCCCAGGCUAGGGGUCUAAUCGGAGCUAUAGCUGUCGGCCUAUGCCAGAGCCACAGCAACGCCAGAUCCAAGCUGCAUCUUCGACCUACACCACUGCUUAUGGCAAUGCCGGAUCCUUAACUCACUGAGCGGGGCCAGGGAUCGAACCCUCAACCUCCUGGUUCCUAGUCAAAUUCGUUUCCUCUGUGCUAUGACGGGAACUCCAGGGCUCUUCCUUAAAACCUGCCUCAAUUCAUUCAUCCAACAGUGAAUUCUGUGCACUUAUUCUGUGAGCAUUGAGCACUUAUUCUGGGUGAGUCACUGUGUGAGACAUGCAGGGCUGAACAAAGCAUUGAAGUCUGUGGCCUCAUGGAGUUUAGAGUCUAGUGGGGAAGAGAGACGUGACAACGUACAUGACAGUUUGAUCAGAGCAGUGAUGAGAACUACAAAGCAGAGUCCAGUGUGCCAUGGAUGCCCUGCAAGUCCAGGGAAGGGCCGAGUUCACCGUUACCACCACACCAAAGAUCAGCUCAUUAAAGACCAUCCUACCGGCUGCAAAACCUGAGACCGCGGUUGCGAUUUUUUUUGUGCUUACUCUGUGUCAGGUGCCAUUCCAAGCACUUGUGUAUUAAUUCAUGCCAUCCUAACCACAACCCUGGCCUCCAUCGCCUCUCCUAAGGCUCUGCCAUGAACCGCGUUUCUCACCCAGCAAUGUACCUCUGCGAUUGCAACCUUUAGAGUUUAUUAUCCCAAUUUCAAUUGAAAAUCCCAGAAAAAGGGAUUUUACUCAAAGCCCUUAUUGUUUUUUUUUUAAUCAGAAAGCGCAUCUUUCCCAGAGCCUCCCAGCAGACUUCCCUAGUUUAAUUUACAGAUGAGACUCAGAGAAGUGUAAGCCACAGAGCUUUAAGAAAGAAAGAAAAAAAGGCAGAUCCAGAAUACUAACCCAGGUUUAUUUAAAAAGCCAGGUCUUUUGCCCAGUAUCUCACUCACACACACACACACACACACACACACACACACACACACAAAAUGCCUGGCUGUCCCAGGACAUCAGUGUUCUUUUGUUGUUGGUGAUGCAUCCUGCAAAUCUGGCCGCGAGAGCGCUCCUUUCUCUGCCUACCCAAGGGUCAGGACCAGUGGACUAUAUCAGCUUAAAGUCAGGUGAUUUUUUUCAAAGCAAUCUUUAGUUUUCUCUUCUACCCUUGGAGUGAAUCAUGUUUUUUAUCCGAAACAACUGUUUUCAGAAUUACAUGAAUUUAUAGGCACUGAACAUCCAUCACCCACCCACCUGUCCAUCCAUCCACUCAUCCAUCCCCGCAUCCAUCCCCGCCUGACUUUUUGGGAGAUGAUGAGUCUUCCCCCGGCCACCGGGUCAGCCAGGUCUCACAGUUGUGUUUUAACCUUGGAUGUAGCAGCUCAGUCAUGCCCAGCCCUCUAGCCAUGCUAUCUCCUCCAACCACCGCCCCCUGUGAGAUAGGUCCUGUUGUUCUCUCCACUUUACAGAUGAGGAAAUAGAUUUGAAGACGGGAAGUGAGUUGCCCAAGGUCACACAGCUGGUGUGUGGAUAGGUCCCCAGGCUGUUUUUAGUUCUGAUAUUCCCACGGAAUCACAUACUGCUGCUAGAUGAUGGGUCAGAGAAAGAAGCUUUCCUGGACUAGUCAGGAGACCGGUCCCUGGUUCAUUGAGGCCAUCUGUCCUCAGCUAAUGAUGAUAUUAAGUCAUAUUUAUGGAGUCCCAACAAUGUGAGUAGCACAGAGGGUUUACACCCGGCUUUCCUGUAGUCAUGCAAGAAGCACCUAAGACACCCUAUGUCCACCUCAGAGAGAAGGCAAGCAAGGCACGGAAGUGAUGAGUAAUUUCUCUAAAGUCACAGAACAAGAGCCAAGAAACACUGGAUUCCAGAGGCCACGCUCUGCGCAUGCGUGUGAUUUAAAUCCGUUUAAAAAAUGCACCUAAGUUUUGAAAAUCCAAAAUAUGCAAACAAACAAACAAAACAUUCUCUUGAAACUCCCUCCUCAGAAACAAAACUCUGUGACCAGUCUCUUCAUGUCCUUCCACUAAUUUUCUAUGCAAAUACAAACGUGUGUGUACAUACAUAUGCAUAUAUCUGUUCUGUUAUCAGAAAUGCAACAUGCUAUACACUC